rnacentral:tRNA from 1 species
GGAGAGGUGCGAGAGUGGUUUAAUCGGGCGGUCUCGAAAACCGUUGUACCCCUAACCGGGUACCCAGGGUUCGAAUCCCUGCCUCUCCG